rnacentral:pre_miRNA from 1 species
UAAGUACUCCCUCCGUCCGGAAAUACUUGUCGAAGAAAUGCAUAAAAAUGGAUGUAUCUAGAACUAAAGUAUGUCUAGAUACAUCCAUUCCACCGACAAGUAUUUCCGGACGGAGGGAGUAAUAU